UUCAUUUCUUUGUUUAUAUAUAGUAAUGUGCUAUGUUGGUUUUGAAGCACAAGUGUAGUACCUGUAUAUGGCUGAAGCAAGAAAGUGUUUGGUUUGGUUAUCUGUUGAAGCUGAAAGUAAAAAAGAUUUGAGCUUUAUGAAUCUAUCUUAUUAUUCUAAAGUUCAGUAUUAACUAUUGGUAUAAUUGUAUGUUGAAUCUCUUUUCUCUCAACUGAGUGAAAAAUGUAGUGUUGAAUGAGAUUUUGUUUAUCUUGCCAAACAGAAUUGGUUUACUGAAGGAGAUAAAUGAAGGGCUUAUUCAUGACUAUGAGUUUCAAAAUGAUUCAUGGAAUAAAUUGUGAGGAUGAUCAAAAUGACAAGUCUCACUGAUUGAGAGAAUGCUUUAUAGGACUAACUCAAAAUGUAUUGGACUGGCUAAGUUAUUACAUGAAUUGUUUUAGAAAAUAUUUUGAAGGAACUGUGUGUAUCUUUUAUGUUGGUAACACUAGGAUUCUCAAGUGAGUGUUCUUUUUCUUCAUAACUGAUUAUUUCGUCACUAUUCAUUUAUGAAUCCAACCAAAUAUGUUUUUGAGUCUUUGAUGUUGUAAAAUUCACUAUUAAAGGCAGUAAUACUGUAAUGUGAAAAGAAAAAUGAGGGAAAAGAAAAUAAGCUUUCCUUGGGGGUGGAGAAAAGAGUCUAACACAUUAUAUUGUGACUCUAGGCGAGGUUAGUAAUAAAAGGCAUUAUGAAAUGGCGUGUUUAUGCACUUAGCGAGCUCAUUUCAAUUGCGAGAUAAUAAAAGAAGACUUUUUAAUGGUAUUUAACAAUUGUUAAUCUCCAUUGUCAUCUACUUUAUCUUUGUUGCUCUCGAGUCAAUAAAAUAGGACGGGUGAUUUAUGAGUUCUACAUUAUUUUGAUAUGGAAUUAUUUUGUUAGUGUACUAUGUGAAUUUGUCUCUGCUCGACGCUGGUUGAGGCUUAUCUAUAAUAUGCUGUCCAAUUUUGUUGAUGCAUUUUCUAAUAUUUGGUUGCAGGUCCCCGAUUUCAUCCUAUGUGGUAUAUAUAAGCUCUAGCAGUUUAAUAAAUAUAUCAAAUUAUAGCAAAGACUAUUGAAAGGAUGGAGUACAAUUAAUGUCCUGUUUCACGGGUAUGGUCGAUAUGACAUAUUGGAGACCAUUUCAGAGAAGGUUCACCAGAAGUUAGAAGAAUAAAAAGCAGAGUAUGAUGCACUUAGACAUAUAGUCUUUAUUAGAUUUUAAUAAAAGUAGUUAGCAAGGACGAUCAACUUAUAUAAUAAGAAGUUCAGCUAUCCUGUUAACAAAUAUAUCACAUCUUGCUCUUGACAAUAGUUUGUUAUAUGUGGUUUUCUUAAAGUUAGCUGCUUUUGGCUCAAUAUGAUAAAGUUCUGCUGGAGGUCAUUACUAUUUCUGAGUACUAGCUAGACCACUAAUCUGGGCUAUGUUACAAGUAUAGCUUAUCAAGUGAGAAGGAGCUCACAUUUCUCAUGGAUAUGUAGUGAUCCUGCAUAAGUUAUUCAUCAAAAAGUUAUAGGACGUCUCUUAUGACACUAAUAAUCUUUACAAUUUCCUUUUUAACACAUCUUUUGAUCUACUGAUCUGGGUAUAAGGAAGCAAUUUGAAAUCCUUUUAGCUGGCCAUGGUAGUUCCAGAAGAAGUGAAGAUUGGGCCUAAAGUAAUCAAGAAGCUGGAGAUUUCAUCUUUAUGCAACAACACGAAGACAAUUUGGUAGCAGACACGAGAAAGGAAAGAUAACCAAGUCAACUUUUUGUCAAGGACCAAGUUCAUAAGCCUAUAAUUCCUUCACAUGGAGGAAAUGUGGUUGCUGAGGACAAGAAAGGAUGAAGGUUGCUUGAACAAGCUUCAUAUUAGCCUUGGCUCAGCAUUAGUUGAUGAUGAGAAGGCAUUAAUGCUGGUAAAAUAAUGCCGGAUGUAAAACUACCUUUGAUGUCAUUAGCCAAUUGAUAUAUUCAAGGCUUAUUCUGUAAAUGGUUGAUGUGAGGUGUUCUCAAAUUUGUGAAGUUGGCGACCAAGUGCCCAAACCUCAAAUAGGAAUGAGCAACUCCAACCAGUUUUCUUGAAGAUGUCUGCUCCUGAUGUCUCUUUAGUUCCUUGGUAAUUUUUAUAGGCUGGUUAGAGUUAGACUAACUUUGAGAUAAAUUCUAUGAAUUUCCUUUAUGGGAGAAGAGUUCUUCCAAAUUUAGCUUAGAGUUAGGAUUGGAGAGGUGACCUAAGUCAACUUCUUAAGACAUUCUUUGAUGGUAGUAUUGGCAUAGAUGAUUCUUGCUUCCUUUAUACUCCACAUGUCCAUCUUUGCUUUUGUAGGAAAAAAUUUACAUUUUAGUAAAGUUGGUUUCUCCCA